GAAGAUUAACUUGCUCGUGGAAGAAUGAGACCUGACACAGGUGAAAACCACAGGUGUGGAUUGCAGAAUUCAUCUGAAAGAGAACACCCACGUGGGAAACUUUGGCUCCUUCAGUUAGCAUUUAACAGAAUCUGCAGCAAAUUGAGAGCAGGGUCAUCCUGCAUGUAGGCAGUGUAAAGAGCUUCAGCAUGAUCACUGUGUAGGAGGCCGGAGUUGGUUUCCUCAGCCCCUUGUCCGGUUCUGUAAUCUACAGACAUCUGCUACAAUACAGCUGCACACCUUAGCCUGGAGUGGAGGUUGUCCUCAGUCAUCCUGGUGA
rnacentral:lncRNA from 1 species